CCUACGGGGGGCAGCAGUAGGGGAUAUUGCACAAUGGGGGAAACCCUGAUGCAGCGACGCCGCGUGGGUGAAGAAGCGCCUCGGCGCGUAAAGCCCUGUCAGCAGGGAAGAAAAUGACGGUACCUGAAGAAGAAGCCCCGGCUAACUACGUGCCAGCAGCCGCGGUAAUACGUAGGGGGCAAGCGUUAUCCGGCUUUACUGGGUGUAAAGGGGGCGCAGACGGGGAUGCAAGCCAGGAGUGAAAGCCCGGGGCCCAACCCCGGGACUGCUCUUGGAACUGCGUGGCUAGAGUGCAGGAGGGGCAGGCGGAAUGCGUGGUGUAGCGGUGAAAUGCGUAGAUAUCAGGAGGAACACCGGUGGCGAAGGCGGCCUGCUGGACUGCAACUGACGUUGAGGCCCGAAAGCGUGGGGAGCAAACAGGAUUAGAUACCCUUGUAGUC
rnacentral:rRNA from 1 species